rnacentral:lncRNA from 10 species
GGAACACUUCAGCCCACCGCUGCAUUGUGGGAUCCCCUUUCUGGGCUGGCCAAGGCCGGAGCCUGCUCCCUCAGCUUGCAGGGAGGUAUGGAGGGAGAGGCGCGAGCCUGAACCGGGGCUGCGCGCGGCGCUUGCGGGCCAGCUGGAGUUCCGGGUGGGCGGGGGCUUGGCGGGCCCGCACUCAGAGCAGCCGGCCGGCCCUGCCGGCCCGGGCAGUGAGGGGCUUAGCAUCCGGGCCAGCGGCUGCGGAGGGUGUACUGGGUCCCCCAGCAGCGCCAGCCCACCGGCACUGUGCUUGAUUUCUCACCGGGCCUUAGCUGCCUUCCCGCGGGGCAGGGCUCGGGACCUGCAGUCCGCCAUGCCUGAGCCUCCCACCCCCUCUAUGGGCUCCUGUGCGGCCCGAGCCUCCCCGACGAGCGCCACCCCCUGCUCCACAGCGCCCAGUCCCAUCGACCACACAAGGGCUGAGGAGUGUGGGCCCACGGCACCGGGACUGGCAGGCAGCUCCACCUGCAGCCCCGGUGCAGGAUCCACUGGGUGAAGCCAGCUGGGCUCCUGAGUCUGGUGGGGACGUGGAGAACCUUUAUGUCUUGCUCAGGGAUUGUGAAUGCACCAAUCGGCACUCUGUAUCUAGCUCAAGGUUUGUGAACACACCAAUCGGCACCCUGUGUCUAGCUCAGGGUUUGUGAAUGCACUAAUCGACACUCCAUAUCUAACUACUCUGGUGGGGUCUUGGAGAACCUUUAUGUCUAGCUCAGGGAUUGUAAAUACACCAAUCAGCACUCUGUAUCUAGCUCAAGGUUUGUAAACACACCAAUCAGCACCCUGUGUCUAGCUCAGGGUUUGUGAAUGCACCAAUCGACACUGUAUCUAGCUGCUCUGGUGGGGCCUUGGAGAACCUUUGUGUCCAUACUCUGUAUCUAACUGAUCUGAUGGGGAGGUGGAGAACCUUUGUCUCUAGCUCAGUGAUUGUAAAGGCACCAAUCAGCGCCCUGUCAAAACAGACCACUGGGCUCUACCAAUCAGCAGGACAUGGGUGGGGCCAGAUAAGAGAAUAAAAGCAGGCUGCCCGAGCCAGAAGUAGCAACUUGCUCAGGUCCCCUUCCACAUUGUGGAAGCUUUGUUCUUUCGCUCCUUGUAAUAAAUCUUGCUACUGCUCACUUUUUGGGUCCACGCUGCUUUUAUGAGCUGUAACGCCCACCGUAAAGGUCUGCAGCUUCACUUCUGAAGCCACCGAGACCACAAGCCCACCGGGAGGAACGAACAACUCCAGACGCGCCGCCUUAAGAGUUGUAACACUCACUGCGAAGGUCUGCAGCUUCACUCCUGAGCCAGAGAGACCACAAACCGGGCGGGAACACCAGAAGGAAAAAACUCCGAACACAUCCGAACAUCAGAAGGAACAAACUCCAAACACGCCACCUUAAGAGCGGUAACACUCACCGCGAGAGUCCGCAGCUUCAUUCUUGAAGUCAGUGAGACCAAGAACCCACCAAUUUCGGACACACUGUCACCACUGUUUUGAAGUUAGAUAUUCAACACUUGAGGAUGGCAAUUCCUUCAAACUAGAAUAAAAACAGAUGCACUGUUGCUGUUCCAUCCUUCUAUAUAUACAUGUCAUAAGCAAUGCACUUUCAGACCUCUGCCCUUGGGACUGGCACCCAGGAAUUUUCUCAUCAGGCCAGUUCUGCUGCAUGGUCUGGAACUGGCAGCAAUGGUGGCAACUCUCUCAUUAGGGUAGUGCUUUGGUAUGGCUCUCGACUUUAUUGAGACUUAGCCAUUUACUCCAGCCUUCUCAAUGAUCCCUUCAACUACCUAACAUCUUUUAUUCAAUUUAUUUCAGCUACAAUUAGCCAGGGUGAACUCUGUUAUUUGAAAACGAGGUAUGAGGCGUGAGCCACGCACCCGUCUAUAGAAGUAUUUUUCUACAUCCACAUUAUGUAGCAGCAUUUCUUUGUCACUUUUUAAUGUAGCUCAAUAACCCCACUUGCAGAAGUGCACUGCCAUAGCAUGCCAGUCCCACUCAGGGGUGACCUGGUGGUCAGUGUAGAAAAAUAAAUAUUCCCAAUGGGCAUAACUUAAAAUAGUACAUCUCACAAUCCAUUUAUCUGGAAAGAAAGAUGAGUUGCAGGUCAACAUUAAUUUGUAGCCAAUAGCUAAUAAUGUCACUGGAUAGUUAGGGACUUGGGAGUAAUAAGAUUGGAGGAUUGGUGAUAAAGAGAACUGGAGCAAAAACCCCUCAGCCUAAGUCUAGAGUUGAAGAAUAGUUGUGUCCCAUGUAAAGACCCAUAUAGAUUGGCGUUGUGCGAAAGAUUUUCAAUAGAUGGUUAGACAAGACCAAUGAACAGAUAAAAAAAAAAUGUGGUAUGUAUACACCAUGGAAUACUAUUCAGCCAUAAAAAAUAAUAAUAAUAAAGUAUUUUGUAACAAUUUGAAUGGAGCUGGAGGCCACUAUUCUAAGUGAACUAGCUCAGGAAUGGAAAACCAAAUACCGUAUGUUCUCACUUAUAAGUUGGAGCUAAGCUAUAGGUAUGCAAAGACAUACAGAGUGGUGUAAUGGACUUUGGAGACUCAGAAUGCAGAGGUUGGGAGGUGGGUGAGGGAUAAAAGACUUCAUAUAGGGGCCGGGCAUGGUGGCUCACACCUUUAAUCGCAGUACUUUGGGAAGUUGAGGCAGGCGGAUCACCUAAGGUCGGGAGUUCGAGACCAGCCUGACCAACAUGGAGAAACCCCAUCUCUACUAAGAAUGCAAAAUUAGCUGGGUGUCGUGUUUUGCGCCUGUAAUCCCAGCUACUUGAGAGGCUGAGGCAGGAGAGUCACUUGAACUGGAGAGGUGGAGGUUGCGGUGAGCCGAGAUCGUGCCAUUGCACUCCAGCCUGGGCAACAAGAGCCAAACUCCGUCAUGUGAGCCACCAAGCCCUGCUGAAAUCAAUAUAUUUUAGAUAUGCAUUUGUCUACCUGGUCUACCAAGCUUCUCCCAGAAACACCAUCUGUAGACUUACCAAGUGCUUUACUCACUGUCACUGUAAUUACAUAACAUUGCUUCUGACCAGGGAUCUUACUGAAUAGCAAAAUGAUUAGGACAAUGAGUUGAAGCAUUUAGGAUGCACUAAGAUUUCUAACCAGAAGCAGUUGGCUUCAUAAAACAGUGAAGUGACCUACUGAAGAUUUAGUUUUGGUGCCUAUUGGGAAAUAUCUUAGAAAGUUCAGACACCAUCCUGUAGAAUACAGUAUAUGCUCUAAAACAACCACCAAUAUGUGGUAUUUUCUCUUCCACGGCCAAAACAAGUGAGCACUUCUUAGGCACUAAGAAGUGAAAAUAGGAGUGACAUUUCUCACUAUUUCCUGAAUGGCCCACUAAUAAAAUUUUUAUUUCAUAUCCUUUGACACACAGUGUGGCCAUAGAAUAAUUUUUUUUUUUUAAUUUAGAGACAGAAUCUUGCUCUGUCACCCAGGCUGGAGUACAGUGGCACAAUCACAGCUCACCGUAACCUCGAACUCCUGAGCACAAGUGUUUGUCCCACCUCAGCCUCCCAGGUAGCUAGGAUUACAGGUGCAUGCCACCACACCUGGCAUGACCUCAAAUGAUCAUCCUGCCUCGGCCUCCCAAAGUGCUGGGAUUACAGGCAUGAGCCACUGCAUCAGCCUGCUAUUAAAAAUUUCAAGGGUAAACCAGGACUGUACUAAACAGAUGAGCCUUACAGUCACCUUAAUAAUAUGAUUUACUUACUACCAUUUGCUCUUAAAUUAGUGAGAAUAGACUUACUUGUUUUUGUUUUUGUUUUUUGAGAUGGACUCUUGCUGUGUCACCCAGGCUGGAGUGCAGUGGUGUGAUCUCGGCUCACUGCAACCUCUGCCUCCUGGGUUCAAGUGAUUCUCCUGCCUCAGCCUCCUGAGUAGUUGGGAUUACAGACAUCUGCCACCACGCCUGGCUAAUUUUUGUAUUUUUAGUAGAGACAGGGUUUCACCAUGUUGGUCAGGCUGGUCUCGAACUCCUGACCUUGUUAUCCACCCACCUCGGCCUCCCAAAGUGCUGGGAUUACGGUGUGAGCCACCACGCCCAGCCGACUUGUUUGUUUGUUUUUGUUUUGUUUUUUGUUUUUUUUGAGACGGAGUCUCGCUCUGUCGCCCAGGCUCGAGUGCAGUGGCACGAUCUCGGCUCACUGCAAGCUGUGCCUCCUGGGUUCACGCCAUUCUCCUGCCUCAGCCUCCCGAGUAUCUGGGACUACAGGCGCCCGCCACCUCUCCCAGCUAAUUUUUUGUAUUUUUAGUAGAGACGGGGUUACACCGUGUUAACCAGGAUGGUCUUGAUCUCCUGACCUCGAGAUCCACCCACCUCGGCCUCCCAGAGUGCUGGGAUUACAGGCGUGAGCCACUGCGCCAGGCCGACUUACUUGUUUUUAACUAAAAACCUUAACCAACAUAACUUAGGAUUUUUAGUAUUACAAAAUUAUUUAACAAUAUAGGCUGAGUGCAGUGGCUCACACCUGUAAUCUCAGCACUUUGGGAGGCCAAGAUGGGAGGAUUGCUUGGGGCCAGGAGUUUGAGACCAGCCUGGGCAACAUAGCAGGACACUGCCUCUGUUAAAACUUUUAAUGGCAAAUUACUUUUGCACCAACCUGAUAUAUAGAUGGAUCAUGUUUGCUAUGUUGUGCCUACAACACAGGAGGAAAUGUUCUAUUCUACAUAUUUAUAAAGCAAAUCCAGAUUAAUUUAAAUUUAUAGAAUCUAUUAUAUCAAUAAUAGUUGACUUAAUGUAGCCAUAUGCUUGUUGCCUAAAGAAUCAUGACUUACACUGAUGUUAUGUGUUGUUAAUGAAGCCUACAAAAUGGAAACAAAGUAUCUCAUAAUGUUUUUACAAAGGGAUUCACUGACUUAUAUAUGAGUUGAGGUUGUUAAAUAAAAUAAUAGGCCAGACAGGGUGCCUCAUGCCUGUAAUCCCAGCACUUUGAAAGGCUGAGACAGGAGGAUCAUUUGAGCUCAGGAGUUCAAGACCAGCCUAGGCAACAUAGUGAGACCCCAUCUCUAAAAAAAAAAUUUUCUGGCCAGGCGCAGUGGCUCACACCUGUAAUCCCAGCACUUUGGGAGGCCAAGGCAGGCAGAUCACGAGGUCAGGAGAUCAAGACCAUUCUGGCUAACACGGUGAAACCCCGUCUCUACUAAACAUACAAAAAAAAAAAAAUUAGCCAGGUGUGGUGGCGGUCGCCUGUAGUCCCAGCUACUGUGAGGCUGAGGCAGGAGAAUGGCGUGAACCCAGGAGGUGGAGUUUGCAGUGAGCCGAGAUCCCUGCACUCCAGCCUGGGUGACAGAGCAGGACUCGGUCUCAAAAAAAAAAAAAUUUUUCUUUUUUUAAUUAGCCGGGGGUGGUGGUACACACCUGUGGCCCCAGCUACUUGGGAGGCUGAGGUGAGAGGAUUGCUUAUGCCUGGGAAGUUGAGGCUGCAAUGAGCCACUGCACUCUAGCCUGGGUGACAAAGUGAGACUGUGUCUUAAAAAUAUAUACACACGGCCAGGCAUGGUGGCUCACGCCUGUAAUCCCAGCACUUUGGGAGGCUGAGGUGGGUGGAUCACGAGGUCAAGAGAUCCUGGCCAACAUGAUGAAACACCGUCUCUAUUAAAAAAAAAAUACAAAAAUUAGCUGGGCGUGGUGGUGUGCGCCUGUAGUCCCAGCUACUUGGGAGGCUGAGGCAGGAAAAUCGCUUGAACCCGGGAGGCGGAGGUUACAGUGAGCCGAGAUUGUGCCACUGCACUCCGGCCUGGUGACAGAGUGAGACUCCAUCUCAAGAAAAAAAAAAUAUAUAUAUAUAUAUAUGUGUGUGUAUAUAUAUAUAUAUGUGUAUAUAUAUAUAUAAUGUGUGUGUAUAUAUAUAUAAUGUGUGUGUACAUAUAUAUGUGUAUAUAUAUAUGUAUAUAUAUGUGUAUAUAUAUGUAUAUAUAUAUACACACACAUAUACAUAUGUAUUACUAGGACAAAAUUUAUACUUUAAGAAAUCUAUAAGUUGUUGUGUAUUAAAAUUGUCAUAAUCUAAUUUCUGUGCUGUAAAUAUAAAUCAUUUUGUGAUAUAUAUAGCUAUAUGUGUAUUGUUCUAUGCUAUAAAUAUAAGCAUCUGUCCUAUAAUACUAUUAAUGUCAGAAAUCCAAGAAGAAUUAAAGAUCAGUUUCAUU